rnacentral:misc_RNA from 1 species
CGGUCACAUAAAUCCUGACUGCUGUGACCACGUCACCUAAACGAACGCCUCUCGCCAUUGUCUUGUGAACACCUCGCCCGACUUUAGCGACUCUACGCAGGUGCAGCACCGCCUUCACGGUGGAGUUUGUGUUGAGAAAUGAGCGCGGGCGCGAAGGCGUUCUUCAAAAAGGUGGGCUUGCCGGCCAUCGGCUUCGGCAUCGGCUGGGCGGGCUUCACGGUUGUCGAGCAGAACGGCUUGCUGAGCGAGCCGAUGCAGCGCUGGCUCAAUGUGCACAAUCUCAAACUGCAGCUCUACACCCAGUGUCUGCUGCCGACCUCUGUGGUGGAAAAGUACGGCUACCCAGAGGACAGGCUGCGAUCCAUAAUUGAACUCCUGGAAAAGGGCACAACGAGUCCGAGGUGGCAGAACGCAUGACCUUCGAUGAGGUCUUGAGGCAGUGCGCCGUGCCGGAGCAGGUGGCGUACCUGGAGGAGCACGCGUCGGAGGAGAUUCCGUACUUCUACAUUGCAGACAUCUUUCAUUCGUGGGCGAACCUUAACGUCGACAGCUUCGUCCGUCAGCAGCCGCAGUCGCCCGCGGAAACGGCGACGGACGCUGCGACCUCCACAUCGACGGCCGCGAGUGCUGCGUUUUCUCCUCCACUUGUCCUCCGCAACGAUGAUGCGUUUGACUCAGAGGUGCUGUGUAGCUCACUGUGGGAGAAGAUGAUUCACAAUGUCAUCCCAUUCGACGUGAGUAUUCGUGCUCUGUGCGUCUUGGCUGUGAACAACCGCGCCAAUGCGCGGCGCCUGGCGCGGAUGUCGUCGCCGGAGCGCGUGAUCGAGCUGUACAGUGAUUACACGGACAAGAUCCAGGCGAAUCAACGGCAAGGCAUUGGGCCCGAUGUGGUGUCCCCUGAAGAGGUCACCGCCGCCACUCUUUUCUUUCUGCGCGCUGUCAACGACGCCUCGGUUCACAGGCGGUGGAUUCCGCUGCUGGGGGUAUUUAGGCCAGACCCGUAUCCACUUGCACGGAAGGUGUCGCCCGAGUUGUGGUGCCGUGCCUUUGGCAACCUCACACCAGCAGUGACAGGCGCGACGUCCGAAACGGCGGUGGUACUCGCAGACGUUAUGAAUGAGCGACUUCGGUGCGCCGAGCUGCGUAAGGUCGAGACGGCGCCGUGACAGUCGUUGGCUUCGUGACAAUGAUAACGCGCGGGAGUGCACCUGCUUGGUAUGCGGGCGUGUGUGUGCGGCCGCCGCUUUCAUCGAGGGCGCGUUGUAGGGUUAUUGUGUUCGUUGUUGAGCGCGUAUUGUGCUGCGAUUCUGGCAUCCUCACACAGAUCUGAAAGUAACUGGACCACCCGCAAUAUACAGGAGCUCAAGUAGGCGGAGGCUGCCCGUUUCUGCAUGAGACUCCUUGGUACACGGUUGCCAGCCAGUUGCUUGCCGACCCCCGGUGUCAGCGCUGCCGCCUGCUCCCUCUGCAUGAUCGCACUCUCUUUCCGCGAACUCGACUGAUCUGUGGCCCGUGCGCCUCACAACGCGCUCUGACGUCUCUAUGGCUUCUUUUAGUGCUCUCUUACACACACCACACACACCCUUCCGAACACGAGCUUAUCGCCUCCUUGCCCUGUUCUUUCUCGAACGCCUUCUUCUUCGUCAUCAGCUUCACGGCUUACUGC